UGCGUAGGCGGAAUAUUAAGUCAGUGGUGAAAUCCCAGAGCUCAACUCUGGGACUGCCAUUGAAACUGGUAUUCUCGAAUAUAGUUGAGGUAGGCGGAAUGUGUAAUGUAGCGGUGAAAUGCUUAGAUAUUACACAGAACACCGAUUGCGAAGGCAGCUUACUAAACUAUGAUUGACGCUGAUGCACGAAAGCGUGGGGAGCGAACAGGAUUAGAUACCCUGGUAGUCC
rnacentral:rRNA from 1 species